rnacentral:rRNA from 1 species
CGCGUGGAUAAUCUGCCCUUGAGUGGGGGAUAACAUCUCGAAAGGGGUGCUAAUACCGCAUAACCCGGUAGGGACCCAGGUCCCAGCCGGCAAAGGUGGCCUCUGCUUGCAAGCUAUCACUCAAGGAGGAGUCCGCGUCCCAUUAGGUAGUUGGUGGGGUAAUGGCCUACCAAGCCCGCGAUGGGUAGCCGGCCUGAGAGGGUGAUCGGCCACACUGGCACUGAGAUACGGGCCAG